GCCGGUGAUACUGUCACCCUUCAUCUGAAAGUCCUGUUAUGGGAACGUUUGGUGUGUGAAGGGGCUGGUUUUCAGGAAGCUAGACUUGUUGAAAUGGUGCUUCGGUGAGGAGUGUUGCUGCUUGAGGUUUCCCAAGGGGACGCUACUGAGAAGCUGGCUCACCAAGUCCCGACCCAGACUGCUGCUGCUCAUCGCCGGCUUGAAGAGGCCUCAGGUCACCCUCAUGCGCAGGAAAAGGAUGAAACGCACGAAAGUAGCAAAGGCCACGUAAGCGAACCUGCAGUCGUAUGCCGCAUUUCACUUGAGUUGCCGACACAGAGAGAAGCUCCGUCUGCCGUCGACAUGAACGCAGAUCCAGAAACAGAGAAAGCAUCUCACCCGUCUCUGCCAAACAUACGAACUAAACGCCAAAGCAGAAGCAGAAGAGGCUCAGAGUUUGUUGUGAAAAUGAGGGAUCUUCCACAAAGAUCCAGACCCCCCGACUAAGAUCCGGAGCCUCACAGUGACAUUUGUUCAUCUUUCUCUCAAAUACACAUCUGUCAUGCUUCAGUACACUACACAGUGUGUGACAGCACAUUAUUGCUAUUGCUCUUUUAAGUGCCUUUGGUUGACAGUGCUUUCCUGUGUUCUCUGGUCAGGAUUUCAGGGACUUUUAUUUAUUUUUUUAGAUUCCUAAUGAUGUGUGUGGGUGAAAAAGAAGAAGAAAAAGAACGGAAAAAAAGAAAGAAACAUGUAUAAUUGCCAUGAGCUAGUAACUAGCAGCACACCAGUGGGGUUUUCAUACUGUUGAGCCCAAAAGACUGACAGCAUUUUUCAUUACUUUGUCCUGAAGAGGAGUAAAAAUUCAUUUAAAUGUCAAUAUCGAAUGGAAGAAAAACAAAUUCAUGAGUUAUAUCAAUCCAAAUGGAUUAUUCUAUUCCCAUUAUCAUUUAACAACCCCAUACAGUCAUCACUGAAAGAUGAUUGAGAUUUUUUUUUACAUUUAAAAAAACAGAUAUUUUUUACAUAAUUUAUAACUAAUAGGUUGUUAUUGAAAACGUCCACAUAAUUAUUAAUAAAAACUGCACUAAAUAAAUGUUAGGUGAAUCUCAUAAAGAAUGUCAAAUCUAGCUUAUUUAUCACACAAAAUCCAAGUAAAAAAUAAGAAAUUAUAUUUUGCAUUAAGAAAAUGACCAUAUUUUAAGACCAUUAUGACUUCUGUUUGUGACAUUAUUUAAGAGCACCAAAAUUCUUAUUACUGACUUUUCUUUGUCAAAGUUAUUCUUAUUACUAUGGUAGACUAAUAAAAUUGUGCCUGCCUGGGUGCAUUACAUUUAAAAUAAUAAUAAUAAAAGCUAUCACAUAUAAAUACAGUUAUAAUUUUAAUGUCAUUUUCUUUAUGGUUUUAUAAAUUUUUGAUUUUAUAAAAUUACACUUUUAAAUUUAAAUUUGUUUCUUGUUUCACCUGAUUUUUACAAUGGCGUUUUAGUGCCUCGUUAAAAAAUGUUUACAAUAUCUAUACCGUUUAAAAUAAUUUGUUACCUGACUGCCUUAAAAUUUUCAGUUCUUGAAAUGUCAAGUUGUACUAAGUAGCAACUUAAGUAUUUGAGCUGAUUCAACUUAAAAUUUUAAGGGUAA